rnacentral:lncRNA from 1 species
GUAUUCAAGUGACUGCAUACGAAAUACUGUGAACGACUUGUGUUCUUAAGAUUUCUUUCUUAAUCGUUGCUGCCUAAUAAGACUCUCUCUGGUUUUCUUUUAUAGCAACAGCAGUUGCUGAGACCUUCCCUUCUCAGACCAGAGGAGUUAAGUAUGGAGUCUGGAAUUGAUCCAGGGCAGGAAUACUACGGGCAAGAUUACUACAGUUAUGAGCAUGGGUAUGAACUGCCUCAGUAUGGGAGCCGCCGCCGCUUGCUGUCUCCUUCGGGGAUGUAUGAUGAGUAUGGGGAAGUCAUGGUGGAGAAUGAUGGCGGCUACUACUAUAGUCCACAUGGAUCAACAGCGGAAGAGGGAAUGAGUCAAAGCAGAGGUCCUUCGAGCAGAGGUAUAAGCCAGAGAGCAGGGGCUCAAAUAGAAGGUAGACCUUUAGAUGGUGGGAUGGAUCUAAGGCAUGGCUCUGGAAGAGCAUAUAGAACCAGCCAGGGAAGGAGAAAACUAAAAGCAGUGAUGCAUUUAAGUCGUGUAGCAGUCAGUGCUCACAAACCAGUAGGAAGAAGUGAGUCUGCUCAUUCUCCGUGGAAGAAAGCAAAGAUAUUCCCAAUGAUUCUGCAGAAAGUGAAAGGCAGUAGGAAGGAUUCCAGUUACGCCAAGUUGAUGUCAGCUCGCCAGGCGGAUGGUGAGAAAAGCAUGAUUAUCAGGGGAAGCUACUUCCAGAAAUCAACAGAUGACAGACCUUCAAUGAGAAAGCUAAAUCAUGUGUUAAAACGCAUCAGUGUCUCCAGAAAAUUUCAAGAGCCUACUAGCAAAGAUGCAGUGCAUUUGGGAGGAAAAGAAGAGGAAGAAAGAGAUGAAGCAAAG